GAUGAAGAACGUAGCGAAAUGCGAUACGUAAUGUGAAUUGCAGAUUUCAGUGAAUCAUCGAAUCUUUGAACGCACAUUGCGCCCGCCAGUAUUCUGGCGGGCAUGCCUGUUCGAGCGUCAUUUCAACCAUCAAGCCUUCGCUUGUGUUGGGGCCCCGCGGCUGCCGCGGUCCCCUAAAUCCAGUGGCGAGCUCGUCGUCGUACCGAGCGCAGUAGACAUCCUCGCUCCGGGAACCCGACGGGUGCCGGCCGUGAAACCCCCCACAUCAAGGUUGACCUCGGAUCAGGUAGGAAUACCCGCUGAACUUAAGCAUAUCAAUAAGCGGAGGA
rnacentral:misc_RNA from 1 species